UCAGAGAAUCAUGUUUGCUUUAGAUCAGGUAUAGGUUUAUUUAAAAAGAAAAAAAAAGGGUGUAAAACAGAGUUUUCUAUCUUCCCUCCUUGCCUCUACUUUUAUCAGUUUUCCCUGUUAACAUCUUGCCUUGGUGUGGUUCAGUACUAAUCUACAUUAGUAUUAAGUAUGGAAUUACUUUUGUGCAUUCUAUGGAUCUCUCCAAAUAUGUAGUGACAUAUAUAUGCCAUUAUAACUUUCAUGCAUAAAUAUUUUGAAUGAAAUGAUGACAAUUCUAAUAUCUGCUUAUUGUUUUUCUAGCAUUGGAUUAAAUUGUGCUCUGGGUGCAGCUGAAAUGAGGCCUUUCAUUGAAACAAUUGGAAAAUGUACAACAGCUUAUGUCCUCUGUUACCCAAAUGCAGGUGUGUUUAAGGUUCGGGUUGCACAUGAAGAACUCUGUAUUUUCAAGGCAUG
rnacentral:lncRNA from 1 species